rnacentral:rRNA from 1 species
CCUACGGGAGGCAGCAGUGGGGAAUAUUGCACAAUGGGCGCAAGCCUGAUGCAGCCAUGCCGCGUGUAUGAAGAAGGCUUUCGGGUUGUAAAGUACUUUCAGCGGGGAGGAAGGGAGUAAUGUUAGUACCAUUGCCCAUUGACGUUACCCGCAGAAGAAGCACCGGCUAACUCCGUGCCAGCAGCUGCGGUAAGACGGAGGGUGCAAGCGUUAAUGGGAAUUACUGGGCGUAAGGCGCACGCAGGCGGCUGGUUAAGUCCGAUGUGAACUGCCUGGGCUCAACCCGGGAACUGCAUCUGAUACUGGGAAGCUUGAGUGUCGUAGAGGGAGGUAGAAGUCCUGGUGUAGCGGUGAAAUGCGUAGAGAUGAGGAGGAAUACCGGUGGCGAAGGCGGCCCCCUGGACGAAGACUGACGCUGAGGUGCGAAAGCGUGGGGAGCAAACAGGAUUAGAUACCCCAGUAGUC